GACGAACGCUGGCGGCGUGCCUAACACAUGCAAGUCGAACGGAACUCGGAGCUUCGGUUCUGAGUUUAGUGGCGAACGGGUGAGUAACGCGUGAGGAACCUGCCUUUCAGUGGGGGACAACAGUUGGAAACGACUGCUAAUACCGCAUAAUGUGUUUUGGGGGCAUCCCCGAGACACCAAAGCUUUAUGUGCUGAAAGAUGGCCUCGCGUCUGAUUAGAUAGUUGGUGAGGUAACGGCUCACCAAGUCUGCGAUCAGUAGCCGGUCUGAGAGGAUGAACGGCCACAUUGGGACUGAGAUACGGCCCAGACUCCUACGGGAGGCAGCAGUGGGGAAUAUUGGGGCAAUGGGGGAACCCUGACCCAGCAACGCCGCGUG
rnacentral:rRNA from 1 species